UAAUAAGUGUUUUUAUGGCACUUUUUUAAAUCCAUAUCCACCUUGUGUGCAAUGUCAGUCGAUCUUCUUCAUGGAGAUCGACCAAACAUCAACCUUUAUUUUUUAACUCUUUGUCUGAAAAAUAUUAUGAAUAAACAAUUCAAAAUA
rnacentral:misc_RNA from 1 species